rnacentral:lncRNA from 1 species
UCUAACCGUGGAAAUAAUCUACCAUCAUGGACCUGAAACAGAUAAUCAGAACAAAAAUUUAGUAAAGAGUAAAUAUUAUCAAAGAAAAAAAAAAUAACAGGAUGUUUUCUGGUUCCUACUGCUUCAGUGCUGCUGUCCAAACACAGAUAGCUCUGUUCUUGGAGGAGCUCUGGGCUCCAGCAAGAGAUACUCGCUACUUAUGCUAGACAUCUGCUGUCCUCAAAGAACUGCUUAAAUCCUGGGUGUGGAAAUCAGAGAAAUGUCCAGCUCCUGCUUCACCAUGGCCAAGUGUAAGAACUCGGUGAGCUCAUUGUGGAACUCCACACAGCUCUUUUUAGAGGGGUCAAGUUCAGAGCAAGAAAUCCUGCUACACUUAUACAGUGAGUACAGAGUAAUGGAUCAAAGUCAGACUAAUAGACCAAGGUCAGAAGUGAUUUCCUGAACCUCUGUCCUCACUCAUCCCUCUUCCUAAAUGCAGAGUCAAAUGCCACUGCUUUGCAGAGGAACUAGAGGAAAGCUUUUAGUUUUCAUUGUCUCUGUGAGCCUGAACAUUACUCCCUGCAACACGCUAAUCUCCAGUAUUGGAAAAGAACAGGAAACUGCUUGGCUGGCAGAAGCAGUGGCCAUGAACCAUUCAGAUGAGGAUUUGAGUUCUAAGAAGAUAGAGCAUCUCUAACUUUCAUCACUGUACUGAGGAUUUUUCCUUAUGCAUAGAAAAGGCAACGUCAUUUAUCCUUGACUGAGAAUCACCGGUACAUUUCAACAAUGGAAUUAGCUAUUCACUGCAUUACAAUGACUUGCUUUCUGUAAUUUGCCAUUAAUAUGCUUCUACCUGAACAGUGCAAAAUGUGAAUUAAAUUGCCACAGGGAAAAAUAAUGAACCUGUUCUUUGAUUUAAUCUAAAAGCGGACAGUUAUAGUCUCUUUCCUCAUAAUAAUGUUCUUCCCUCUCUUCUCAAAAAUUUUACUUUAACUUGUCUAGGUUUUCUUUUCAAUUCAGGAUAAAGUGCAGCAUGUAAUGUGGCCUUC